rnacentral:tRNA from 1 species
AAAUGGCAGAUUUAAUGCAUUAAAUUUAAGAUUUAAAUAUGAUUAUUCUUUUAGUA